GUUUUACAAUGUUUUAAUGUUAAAAUGACAACAUUUCUUGCAGUGUACCUUCUCUUGCUGUAUUCUAGAUGACUUCAAAACCCAGAUAUUCUGUCUAUGGUGGCAAAAUCAAUGAUGUUGGAUUUCACACCAACAGGAGUCUCAGAAGACUGUUUGUAUCUGAACAUUUACACUCCUUCUCAAAGAUCAGAAUCAGAUAAACUUCCAGUAAUGGUCUGGAUUCAUGGAGGGGCUCUGGUCACGGGCGGUGCUUGCACGUAUGACGGAUCCCCAUUAGUGCCCUAUGAGAACAGUUGUGAUUGUCAUUCAGUACCGACUUGGAAUGUUAGGAUACUUCAGCACAGGAGAUAAGAAUGCUCAAGGAAACUGGGGUUUCCUAGACCAGACUGCUGCUUUACAGUGGGUGCAGCAAAACAUUAAAGGUUUUGGAGGAGACCCCCAGUCUGUCACCAUAGCUGGGGAGUCUGCAGGAGAAAUCAGUGCCUCU